rnacentral:rRNA from 1 species
UACGUAGGUGGCGAGCGUUGUCCGGAUUUACUGGGCGUAAAGAGCGCGCAGGCGGCUGGUCAAGUCCGAUGUGAAAGCUCCCGGCUUAACUGGGAAAUUGCAUCGGAAACUGAUCGGCUGGAAGGUGGGAGAGGGUAGCGGAAUUCCCGGUGUAGUGGUGAAAUGCGUAGAUAUCGGGAGGACCACCAGUGGCGAAAGCGGCUACCUGGCCCAUUCUUGACGCUGAGGCGCGAAAGCUAGGGGAGCAAACGGG